CUUUGGAGAAGCCGUCACCGAAACUACAGGCAAAUGCGCACAAAAUUGUUAAAAUAAGUACAUAAAAUGCAUCCGCCAAUGAUAGAUUGCCCCUUUGAACAGCUGCUGGAUGGUCUCCUAGAUAAUACGAAAAAUUAUUAUUUAUAUACAUAUCUAAAAGAUUUUCCUUGACUGACCUUUUAAAAUGUGGACAUUUACCGACUUUGGAUUUGCGUUUGAUGGUAAGCAGGAAUAUUUCCCUGAAUCAGAAAUUCGAGCACGUUGAAUUAAAAGAUGGUACGUGGAAAUUGAGCUGAUUCAACAAGUCCGCACUUUCAACAUCACCAUGGAUAAGAUUAUAAAUAUACGAGCGAAACGUAAGAAGUUCUUUUGAGCCGACUCGAUGCGUUUACUAUGGACGUCGUACUGAGGGCUCCAAACGCAUCAUCCAUAUUAUAAGGACAAACUAAAGAGAUUGUAAUAAAGUUUAAUAAUUAGUUCACA